UACGAAGGGGGCUAGCGUUGUUCGGAAUCACUGGGCGUAAAGGGCGCGUAGGCGGCUUUGUAAGUCGGGGGUGAAAGCCUGUGGCUCAACCACAGAAUUGCCUUCGAUACUGCAUGGCUUGAGACCGGAAGAGGUAAGUGGAACUGCGAGUGUAGAGGUGAAAUUCGUAGAUAUUCGCAAGAACACCGGUGGCGAAGGCGGCCCACUGGUCCGGUACUGACGCUGAGGUGCGAAAGCGUGGGGAGCAAACAGG
rnacentral:rRNA from 1 species